UUUCUCUCUUCUCUGUUUUGGAAGAGAAAAUAAAAAAGAUACUAAAAAGGAAAAGGUAAAGAGGUGAUUUUUGUGGGGCUUUGGGCAUGCUUAGGAAUGCUGUGGAUUGACUGAAUUUUGGAGAUUUUUUCCCUUGUUUUGUAACCCGGUAAUCUCGGGUGGCUUUGAAGGAGAUGGGGAGUUCUGGUGAGUCUGUUGUCAAAGCCAUUGAUGCGUCGGUUGGGGGUCUGGUGUGGG
rnacentral:misc_RNA from 1 species